AUAAAUAUAUAUAAAUAUUAGUUGAUAUUGUAAAUGUAUAUAUAUAGAUGUAUUGAAUAUGUAUUACCUAAUUAAAAACAUGCAUAUCGUACACUACACUACAAAAAUUUUUACUUUUAAUCAUAAAAUUUGUGACUAAAAGUAAAAAAGUCGUGAUCAAUUAUAAAUCAUUAAAUUCUUAUAUUGUGACUAAAAGGUACGUGGCUAAAGGUAUUAGUCACCAAAAUUACAAUUUAUUGUGACUAAAUGUGUUUUUAGUCACGAUAUAUGCUUGUUGUGACUAAAAGUAAAUUAGUGAUAAUUUGUAUCUAAAUACUAUGUUUUAGUUACAAAUAAUUUUUUGUUGUGACUAAUAGUCACAUUUAGUCACAAAAAAAAUUAUGUUGUAACUAAAAUAUUGUCACUAAAGGUAACUGUUUUUUUGUAGUACAAGAAUUUAUGUAUAUAUAUGACCAAUUUUUCUGGCUUUCUCCCAUGAGUGAGAUGUUGGUUUUCCAAUAGUGAUAGCAUUGUUAAUUGGUAAUUCUUUUCUUCUUCUUUUUAUUCUCUCAAUGGAAGAGCCUAGUCAUGUCCAAGUUUUGGUGGAUGGUGAGGGUUUUCCCUUACAAGAGGAAAAUAUAGAGCUUUUCAGGCACAGUAAUAGUCACUGAGAAACCAAUUUCUUUCGCUUCCUUGGAAACAAUCUCCAUGAUCCUUAUUUCUAAAUGCUAGAAGCAACAAGGUUAGGGGAAAAGGCUCUUAAAAGAGUGGAACAAAGUCCAAAUCUAGUCAGGGACGUUUGGCCAGAAAAAGUGUUCCCCUGUCGAGUAUACCCUUUGAGUUAGCUUGAGGGGAUGUCGAGGACAAUGCUCGAGAUCAGGGAGAUUGUGGGAGAAUUCCAGCUGAUCCUGAUGCAUAGUUUACACCUUUGAGUAUGUCAUAGCCGGUGGUAUUAGCAAAAGGUGGUAUAAAUUCAUCAAACCCUAAAAGUUGACCUUUAAUAAUAAUAUAUAUA